AUAGCGUAUAUUAAAGUUGUUGCAGUUAAAAAGCUCGUAGUUGAACCUUGGGCCUGGCUGGCCGGUCCGCCUCACCGCGUGCACUGGUCCGGCCGGGCCUUUCCUUCUGGGGAGCCGCAUGCCCUUCACUGGGUGUGUCGGGGAACCAGGACUUUUACUUUGAAAAAAUUAGAGUGUUCAAAGCAGGCCUUUGCUCGGAUACAUUAGCAUGGAAUAAUAGAAUAGGACGUGCGGUUCUAUUUUGUUGGUUUCUAGAGUCGCCGUAAUGAUUAAUAGGGAUAGUUGGGGGCAUUGGUAUUGAGUCGCUAGAGGUGAAAUUCUUGGAUUGACUCAAGACCAACUAUUG
rnacentral:rRNA from 1 species